GAUGAACGCUGGCGGCGUGCCUAAUACAUGCAAGUCGAGCGAACAGAUGAGGAGCUUGCUCCUCUGACGUUAGCGGCGGACGGGUGAGUAACACGUGGAUAACCUGCCUAUAAGACUGGGAUAACUUCGGGAAGCCGGAGCUAAUACCGGAUAAUAUAUUGAACCGCAUGGUUCAAUAGUGAAAGACGGUUUUGCUGUCACUUAUAGAUGGAUCCGCGCCGCAUUAGCUAGUUGGUAAGGUAACGGCUUACCAAGGCAACGAUGCGUAGCCGACCUGAGAGGGUGAUCGGCCACACUGGAACUGAGACACGGUCCAGACUCCUACGGGAGGCAGCAGUAGGGAAUCUUCCGCAAUGGGCGAAAGCCUGACGGAGCAACGCCGCGUGAGUGAUGAAGGUCUUCGGAUCGUAAAACUCUGUUAUUAGGGAAGAACAAAUGUGUAAGUAACUAUGCACGUCUUGACGGUACCUAAUCAGAAAGCCACGGCUAACUACGUG
rnacentral:rRNA from 1 species